rnacentral:rRNA from 1 species
UGAGGAAUAUUGGACAAUGGGCGUAAGCUUGAUCCAGCAAUACCUACUGAGUGAAGAAGGGAACUCUGUAAAACUUAGGAAACAAAGAAGAUUGUGACUUUAUUUGGUUUUUAGCCCUGGCUAACUUCGUGCCAGCAGCCGCGGUAAAACGGAGAGGGCAAGUGUUACUCAUAAUGACUGGGUGUAAAGGGUACGUAGGUGGUUAAGAAAGCGGUGAGUGAAACAGAAGAUUAAUUGCUUUAAACGCUUGCUGAACUACUUAGCUAGAGUGUUGUCGAGGGUAUUGGUACGUUUGAUGAAGAGGUGAUAUUCUACGAUAUCAAAAGGACAACCAAAGGCGAAGGCAAGUACCUAGGCAACACUGACACUGAGGUACUGAAGCGUGGGGAGCAAAUCGGAU